rnacentral:sRNA from 1 species
GCGCAGCGAGAGAACGUUGCUUCAGCAACGGCCCGCAGGGCGAGCCACGCAGUGGCGAGUCAUCCUCUAUCACCGACCA